GUGUGUGUGUGUGUGUGUGUGUGUGUGUGUGUGUGUGUGUGUGUGAAGGUGUUCGUAUGGGUGGCAGGGGGAGUACUGCAAUCAGUGUAUCCCAUACCCCGGCUGUGUGCAUGGUACCUGUGAGGAACCGUGGCAGUGUCUCUGCGACACCAACUGGGGAGGACUGCUCUGUGACAAAGCUUCCGGUGUGACCACUGCCUCUACCCCUGGUCAGAGUCUUGUCGCUUGGUGGUGCUCACUGAUGCUGUGGAUGGAUCUGUGUGGACAGCCUGACCCAGGAGACAGCCAUGGACAGAGCCACUUGGGGACUUUCACACCAUCACAGAUCUGCCAUUACAUCUGUCAGCUUGAGACAGCAAGGAAUUAGUGUCUUUAAUGACCUCAGAAACUACAGUGACCUAAUAGUUCCUCAUGAGCCAUUUAUUGCUGUUGUAAAAAGGACAUUAAUCAGCUACAGUUACAUUAUUUACUGUCCAGUGUCACCCAAAUGAGGAUGGGUUCCCUUCUGAGCCUAGUUCUUCUCAAGGUUUCUUCCUUAUAUCAUCUCAGGGAGUUUUUCCUUGCCACCGUCACCACAGGCUUGCUCAUUUGGCAUAAAAUAAAAUAGGGAUAAAAUAGUUUAAUAAUUUAAUUUAAUAAUUUUUUAUUUUUUAAUUAUAUAAAAAAUAUAUCUAUCAUUCAGUGGUGUGCUGUCAGGGCCAGCAAGGCCUUCUCUGCUGGCCUAAACAGCAGUGAUCCGAAUCACUGACUUGCAUUUUAAUAUAAUUAAAAUAUUUUUCCAUGAA